UACGGAGGAUGCAAGCGUUAUCCGGAAUGAUUGGGCGUAAAGCGUCCGCAGGCGGCAGUUCAAGUCUGCGGUCAAAGACCGGGGCUUAACUUCGGAAAGGCAGUGGAAACUGAACAGCUAGAGUAUGGUAGGGGCAGAGGGAAUUCCUGGUGUAGCGGUGAAAUGCGUAGAGAUCAGGAAGAACACCGGUGGCGAAGGCGCUCUGCUGGACCAUAACUGACACUGAGGGACGAAAGCUAGGGGAGCGAAUGGG
rnacentral:rRNA from 1 species